rnacentral:rRNA from 1 species
UACGGGGGGGGCAAGCGUUGUUCGGAAUUACUGGGCGAAAAGGGCACGUAGGCGGCCCGGCAAGUCUCUCGUGAAAUCCCACAGCUCAACUGUGGAACUGCGUGAGAUACUGCCAGGCUUGAGUCCGGGAGAGGGGAGUGGAAUUCCCAGUGUAGCGGUGAAAUGCGUAGAGAUUGGGAAGAACAUCGGUGGCGAAAGCGCCUUGCUGGGCCUGCACUGACACUGAGGCACGAAAGCUAGGGGAGCGAAAGGG